GCAGAAUUCCGCGAAUCAUCGAGUCUUUGAACGCAAGUUGCGCCCGAGGCUUGACCAAGGGCAUCCCUGCCAGAGCGUCAUU
rnacentral:rRNA from 1 species